rnacentral:rRNA from 1 species
UGGGGAAUAUUGCACAAUGGGCGCAAGCCUGAUGCAGCCAUGCCGCGUGUGUGAAGAAGGCCUUCGGGUUGUAAAGCACUUUCAGCGGGGAGGAAGGCGUUAAGGUUAAUAACCUUGGCGAUUGACGUUACCCGCAGAAGAAGCACCGGCUAACUCCGUGCCAGCAGCCGCGGUAAUACGGAGGGUGCAAGCGUUAAUCGGAAUUACUGGGCGUAAAGCGCACGCAGGCGGUCUGUCAAGUCGGAUGUGAAAUCCCCGGGCUCAACCUGGGAACUGCAUUCGAAACUGGCAGGCUAGAGUCUUGUAGAGGGAGGUAGAAUUCCAGGUGUAGCGGUGAAAUGCGUAGAGAUCUGGAAGAAUACCGGUGGCGAAGGCGGCCCGCUGGACAAAGACUGACGCUGAGGUGCGAAAGCGUGGGGAGCAAACAGG